GGUGAGUAACACGUGGAUAACCUACCUAUAAGACUGGGAUAACCUCGGGAAACCGGAGCUAAUACCGGAUAAUAUUUUGAACCGCAUGGUUCAAAAGUGAAAGACGGUCUUGCUGUCACUUAUAGAUGGAUCCGCGCUGCAUUAGCUAGUUGGUAAGGUAACGGCUUACCAAGGCAACGAUGCAUAGCCGACCUGAGAGGGUGAUCGGCCACACUGGAACUGAGACACGGUCCAG
rnacentral:rRNA from 1 species